UAGCAGGAUAGUCAGUCCUACGUAUGGUGGCACGGUCUAUUUGGGGAUUGAACCCAUGACGGGCAUGUUGUUAAGUCGUACGAGUUGACGACUGUACUAUCUAGACCGGCUAAACUAAGGCAACUAUAGGCAACUAUAGAAGGCACAACUAUACCAACAUAUUGUAGUUAGACUUAACAUUAUAAGCAAAGUUUUUGCUGUUGACCUACUAUCAGUAAUAAUACGGAAUGGAGAGGGAGGGGGGGGGGUCUGAGUGGGUCAAGCUGAUUAGGAAGUUACACGUGGCAAGAUUAAAUUUUUAUUAAUUGGUUUAAAACCAAACGAUUCGAAGUAACCCUCUUGUCAUCUGAUUUGUUAUAAAGUUGCAUUAAAGCAACGUAUUUUCUUUCCUUGAAAUGCUUGAAUGCCAUCGUUUCAGAGUUUUUUUUUUAAAUUUUGUUGCUCAAGAUUUCAGUACAUUGCUAUUUACAGAUAGAUAAUUCAAUAAAUCAGAUUUAACGCAAUACAUUAUUUAAACAGAAAAAAAGACAUAUGAUGAAUUUUCAAUAAAGAAGUACAAAUACAGCCCAUUGUUGCUGCAAAGCAAAAUUCCAAAAUGAUGCUUUACUUUUAUUUAAUGCUCAAUGCUGAUCAAAGAGUAGAAACAUAGCGAAAAUCAUUAGCAGCUAUUUAUUUACUCAUCGCUGUUGUGAACAGGCGUGCCGAGCCCUGAACUCCUCGUAGCAGUUGCGCUCGAUCGCUGGACGUUGCGCGCACGCACACUACGACGCACACACUAGCGAUACGCGCUUUGUGUUGUGAGUUUGUGCAGAGCGCACAAAAGGAAGUGAAUUAGGCUGUGUAGGGCUGAUGGCAGUGGCGUAUUUAACGAUCGACAGAUUCGACGAUUCCCGUCAUUCACAGUCCCGUCAUUGCUCGACGACAGCAAUUUGCUUACCUGUGCUGACUAAAUAAAUAGUACCGUGCCAAUGUGUACGAUUGAACCAUCCCGGACGUGUCUUACCCUACUGAAAGUUCUCUGUGGGAAGGAAUUUACAAAUCGCUACACCUCACUGUGGUUGUGUUUCCUCCCAAAGUAGUGACAGGCCUUUGUUUCGCCCCGAACGAAAGUAAAUUGUGUGUAAAUUGUUUAAAAUUGUAGAUUACACCAUCACCCAAUUACGUGCGGAUGCAUGAAGCCUUUCGUACAUGAAGAUGUUUCCGUGCCUCUUCGGAUGAUGAGCAGCUGCCUCCCACAGAGCAAGAGGAAUCACCGCACGGGGUGACAUUUGAAUAUUCAAUGUAAUCACAACCGACCCCAUCCGACCAACAACGAUCUGAAAGGCGUUCAAAAACAAUUCACUGCACUUGAAAAGAUUGCCCAAAGUUGCCUUCACCAGGAGCUUUGCGGCUAGGGAAAGAAAGAGCACCAUUACUCCAGCACACUGGGCACAGUAUAAUGUAUUUUGAGAAUUUUCAAAACCUUAUCCAGGAUCCAGACAUCGGGAAGAGUGUGAGGACGGUCUUCAUUAGAGCUAAAUCGAUAACAAGGCUCAUCACGCUGCUGGCCUUCCGUCCGUUGCUUCUCUACAAGUGGAUUUGAUGAUCCCUGAAAUCGGCAUAACGAUGAAACGUGUCCCGGUUCUCCCCCUCCACCCCCCAGGAUAAAGGGGACUUUUGACAUCAAGCGGAAGUAGUAGGUCACGGGAAACUCGUCGAGAAUGUACCAAGUAGUGGGAUGGAAUUGCGCAAAAUAAAAAAAAAAAAACAAAAAUAACGAAA